CCGACCUUAGCUCAGUUGGUAGAGCGGAGGACUGUAGUGGUAUAAGUCAGUAAUCCUUAGGUCGCUGGUUCGAAUCCGGCAGGUCGGA
rfam:Lupinus angustifolius cultivar Tanjil chromosome LG20, whole genome shotgun sequence.